rnacentral:lncRNA from 1 species
GUGCGCCUGUCAGAUGAGGAACAUACAAAUAAGGUAAUAGGUAACAGGUGAAUAUACUAUUGGUAUCGGUAUCGGACUCAACCCGGAACUUCUUAAUUAUUGGCAAUAUUAAUUACGUGGAAAACAAAAGGGCCUGGAGUGGUGUAAUUUUUAAUCUACACCUUUGUACUAUAUUAGUUAUAUAUAAAGUUGAAUUCUUUGAUUCGUCG